AGGACUAUCGUAUAACGGUUAGUACAUCGGCCUUUGACUCCGAGAGUAGAAGUUCAAUUCUUCUUAGUCCUGCCA
rnacentral:tRNA from 1 species